ensembl:lncRNA
UCAGUGUUCCUCUCAUAGGGAUAUUUCCUUUGAGUAGCAGCACCUUGAUGUUUGAGGAAUUCAAACUGUGGGUUAAAUUCUUUUCACCUGCCUUCAUUAAUCAAGGUUGAAGACUCGCAUGCCAAGCAGUAGAUAGCCUUGGAGGUUCUGCCCUAGUUGUUUUCCAGGAACUUGGGGUCAGCCUGGCUAGUUUGAGCUAAGCCGGUUAGGACUGGAUGCGCCCACAGACCCCUCCCCCCAACUGGGGAGAUUGUUGGGUUCCUAGACUAUCAGCUGAGAGGCGUUGGCAGCCUCAUCAUGACGAACACCUGCCACAAAAGGAAACCGUGCAGACUAUAGAAGAGCUAAGAAGCCCAUAUCCUGAUGAUAUGGGCUUAAACCCCUGCCCUGAAGCCAGAUCCAUGUGAGGACUUUCUAUCUAGUUAAAUGCAACAAUGAUUUUCCUGUUACGCAUAAGCUAGCUUGACUUGGGUUCUGUCCCUUGCAACUGAAGAUGGGCUCCCUGAGGAGAGGUUGGAUUAGAGCAUUUCCGCUCUGGCAUGUCAUGUUCGCCCACAUGCACACGCGUGCACGCACACACACACACACACAAUAAAUAAGGGUGCAUAGAGCUCCAAGCCCACUGAGAAAACCGAGGCAUUACUCAUCCGGGCCUUUCCAGAUUUGGUAUUCACUUAAUAUUUUAAGU